rnacentral:rRNA from 1 species
AUUGAACGCUGGUGGCAGGCCUAACACAUGCAAGUCGAGCGAGCGGCGGACGGGUGAGUAAUGUAUGGGGACUGCCCGAUAGAGGGGGAUAACUACUGGAAACGGUGGCUAAUACCGCAUACUAUCGGAUACCCCAUAUGGGAUUAGCUAGUAGGUGGGGUAAAGGCUCACCUAGGCGACGAUCUCUAGCUGCUCUGAGAGGAUGAUCACCCACAUGAGGAAUGAGACACGGCCCACACUCAUAAGGGGGCAGCAGUGGGGUAUAUUGCACAAUGGGCGCAAGCCUGGUUCAGCCAUGCCGCGUGUAUGAAGAAGUCCUUAGGGUUGUAAAGUACUUUCAGCGGGGGGACGUUAGCCGCAGAAGAAGCACCGGCUAACUCCGUGCCAGCAGCCGCGGUAAUUC